ACCGUCACUAAAAGCCGAUUUCACAGCCCAGUGCCGCAAGCUUGUACGCUCCCCAACCAAACACAACACUAUGAAAAUUCCUCAUAUUGCAUUCGGCACUGACAUAAAUGGGGGAUUCUUAGGAAGCCACAUAGGAAAUUGAAUAGAAAUAUUGGAUCAUUGUGAAAAAUACAUCGGAAAUUCCUUGUAUAGCGUUCGGCAUUGACAGAAGGAGGAAAUUUUAGGAAGCCACACAGGAAAUUGAGUAGAAAUAUCGGAUCAUUGUGGAAAAUACAUCGAAAAUUCCUUGUAUAGCAUUUGGCAUUGACAUAAGAAGGAGGAAAUUUUAAGAAACCACCCCCAGGAAAGUAUCUGGUAUUGAGAAGAAGUAUCAUAUCAUUGUGGAAUAUACAGUUUGGUUUGGGGCUUACAAUGACUGUAUUGGACUGUCAAACUGGCCCUACGUGUUAGCUUUGGCCGUAUAGUGUUGGCAGUGGUGAGGUGUCCCACAAGGCAUGGCUCUAACCUCGCUAAAAAAACCUUUGAGUCUGGCUGCUGUCCCUCUAAAUCAGUGGUUCCCAAUGUUCUUGCACUCGCGACCCAAAAUCCUGUAACCCACACAACCCCGGAUAUCACCAAUUUUUUUAUCUAUUUACAGUGGAGGAAGGCGCUCAUAGAAAAAGGAAAAAUUAUACAAAACCACAGAACGCAAUCUCAAAAUGAGGUUCCCAAUGUUCUUGCACUCGUGACCCAAAAUCUUGUAACCCACACAACUCCGGAUAUCAUCAAUUUUUUAUCUAUUUACAGUGAAGGGAGGAGCUCAUAGAAAAAGGAAAAAUUACACAAAAACACAGAAUGCAAUCUCAAAAUGAGGUUCCCAAUGUUCUUGCACUCGUGACCCAAAAUCCUAUAACCCACACAACCCCGGAUAUCAUCUAUUUUUUAUCUAUUCACAGUGAAGGAAGGAGCUCAUAGAAAAAGGAAAAAUUAUACAAAAACACAAAACGCAAUCUCAAAAUGAGGUUCCCAAUGUUCUUGCACUCGCAACCCAAAAUCUUGUAACCCACACAACCCCGGAUAUCAUCAAUUUUUUAUCUAUUUACAGUGAAGGAAGGAGCUCAUAAAAAAGGAAAAAUUACACAAAAACACAGAACGCAAUCUCAAAAUGAGGUUCCAAAUGUUCUUGCACUUGCGACCCAAAAUCUUGUAACCCACACAACCCCGGAUAUCAUCAAUUUUUUAUCUAUACACAGUGGAGGAAGGAGCUCAUACAAAAAGGAAAAAUUACACAAAAACACAAAACGCAAUCUCAAAAUGAGGUUCCCAAUGUUCUUGCACUCGUGACCCAGAAUCCUAUAACCCACACAACCCCGGAUAUCAUCUAUUUUUUAUCUAUUUACAGUGGAGGAAGGCGCUCAUAGAAAAAGGAAAAAUUAUACAAAACCACAGAAUGCAAUCUCAAAAUGAGGUUCCCAAUGUUCUUGCUCUCGUGACCCAAAAUCUUGUAACCCACGCAACCCCGGAUAUCAUCAAUUUUUUAUCUAUUUACAGUGAAGGAAGGAGCUCAUACAAAAAGGAGAAAUGAUGCAAAAACACACAACGCAAUCUCAAAAUGAGGUUCCCAAUGUUCUUGCUCUCGUGACCCAAAAUCUUGUAACCCACACAACCCCGGAUAUCAUCAAUUUUUUAUCUAUACACAGUGAAGGAAGGAGCUCAUACAAAAAGGAAAAAUUACACAAAAACACAGAACGCAAUCUCAAAAAUCGUUCUCCCAAGCCAUUUCUACCAAGGUAUCGUGACCCCUCCCUGGCCAAUCCUACUCGAUCCCCCUUCAGGGUAGUUGCGAGGCACCAGUUGGGAACCCCUGCUCUGAAAUUUGUCAUCUUUUUGGCUGUUUAGAGAUGGGAGUUGUGAGGAUGCAGAGGGCAAAGCACAUACAAGAUACCUUAAUUUGUGGAAGGGUUUUUUAUGUUGCUAAUUUUUGCCGUUCCUGCUGUGAGAGUUAAAUGGAUUGCAUGAGAGAAAAGCAGAAAAAAAAGGAAGUUGUUGUUAUUGUUUCUUUGGUGUUUGACGUGAUGAAAACUGCAAUGCUCUUCCAGGAAAUAUCUUUUUUUGUAUGAGAGUAUAAUUUCUGUUUUCUAUAGCCCUUAUUAGCAUAUUUUAACCCGGUAGCAGCAACGGGCCAAAUUUGUGGCUUUACCGUGUAGCAGCGACGGGCCAAAUUUGUGGCUUUACCAUGUAGCAGCGACGGGCCAAAUUUGUGGCUUUACCGUGUAGCAGCGACGGGCCAAAUUUGUGGCUUUACCGUGUAGCAGCGACAGGCCAAAUUUGUGGCUUUACCGUGUAGCAGCGACAGGCCAAAUUUGUGACUUUACCGUGUAGCAGCGACGGGCCAAAUUUGUGGCUUUACCGUGUAGCAGCGACGGGCCAAAUUUGUGCCAUGAUAUAAACCCCCCAAAAAUAGAUGAUACAUAAUCUGAUCACAAAUGCGUUGAUAUAUAUUAUGAAAUGGUUUGUGUGAGGGGUGAUUUUUUCUCAUUUUUCUCGCUUAGAGGGACCAUUAAGAAACAUGAUCCCCGCUGCUACCGGGUUAAAUAGUCUGCAUCACACUCAUGUAUAAGUGUGAUGAAAUAGCUUAGUCUGCUUCUUCCUGCUUGUUUCAAAUUGAGUUAUAUGUUUGCUGUGAUUGCUUUUUGUGGAUACUUUCUUUUCCAAUUAAAUAUGAAGGCCAUUCUAUCAUGUACACAAAGCUAUUACACACCAGAACUGCCUUGAAUGUAAAUAUACUUAUCAUACCUAACUACCUAAGACUCAAGGGAACACAACAACAACUAUUAAACUAACCAAUAUUAAGUAGUCAUCUUAAUGUAGAAUAGUUACUACUGCUUCUGCUACUACUAUGCACAUUUCCACU